GAUGAACGCUGGCGGCGUGCCUAAUACAUGCAAGUCGAGCGAACAGAUAAGGAGCUUGCUCCUUUGACGUUAGCGGCGGACGGGUGAGUAACACGUGGGUAACCUACCUAUAAGACUGGGAUAACUUCGGGAAACCGGAGCUAAUACCGGAUAACAUUUGGAACCGCAUGGUUCUAAAGUGAAAGAUGGUUUUGCUAUCACUUAUAGAUGGACCCGCGCCGUAUUAGCUAAUUGGUAAGGUAACGGCUUACCAAGGCGACGAUACGUAGCCGACCUGAGAGGGUGAUCGGCCACACUGGAACUGAGACACGGUCCAGACUCCUACGGGAGGCAGCAGUAGGGAAUCUUCCGCAAUGGGCGAAAGCCUGACGGAGCAACGCCGCGUGAGUGAUGAAGGGUUUCGGCUCGUAAAACUCUGUUAUUAGGGAAGAACAAAUGUGUAAGUAACUGUGCACGUCUUGACGGUACCUAAUCAGAAAGCCACGGCUAACUACGUG
rnacentral:rRNA from 1 species